rnacentral:rRNA from 1 species
GACGAACGCUGGCGGCGUGCUUAACACAUGCAAGUCGAACGGAAAGGCCCUGCUUUUGUGGGGUGCUCGAGUGGCGAACGGGUGAGUAACACGUGAGUAACCUGCCCUUGACUUUGGGAUAACUUCAGGAAACUGGGGCUAAUACCGGAUAGGAGCUCCUGCUGCAUGGUGGGGGUUGGAAAGUUUCGGCGGUUGGGGAUGGACUCGCGGCUUAUCAGCUUGUUGGUGGGGUAGUGGCUUACCAAGGCUUUGACGGGUAGCCGGCCUGAGAGGGUGACCAGCCACAUUGGGACAGAGAUACGGCCCAGACUCCUACGGGAGGCAGCAGUGGGGAAUAUUGCACAAUGGGCGGAAGCCUGAUGCAGCAACGCCGCGUGCGGGAUGACGGCCUUCGGGUUGUAAACCGCUUUCGCCUGUGACGAAGCGUGAGUGACGGUAAUGGGUAAAGAAGCACCGGCUAACUACGUG